GACGAACCGUGCGAACGUUGUUCGGAAUCACUGGGCUUAAAGGGCGCGUAGGCGGGCUGACAAGUCUGGGGUGAAAUCCCGCGGCUCAACCGUGGAACUGCCUCAGAUACUGUCGGCCUCGAGGGAGGUAGGGGCGUGCGGAACUGUGAGUGGAGCGGUGAAAUGCGUUGAUAUUUACAGGAACUCCGGUGGCGAAAGCGGCGCGCUGGACCUCUUCUGACGCUGAGGCGCGAAAGCUAGGGGAGCAAACGGG
rnacentral:rRNA from 1 species